GCAGACUGUCUGUUCUAAUCCAGCUAACAGCUAUUAGCAUAAUUAUACACCAGUGUCUUGGGGUGACAACCAGACCUAGCCUACAUCUAAAACAAGCAGUUAGCAUGCAGACAUAUGGAAUACCUUCCUCAUGUGUCAUAUUUUAAAUCACAUCUCUCUGUUGUUAAGAUCUAUUGCUAAUGUCUCUGCAGUAUUUUCCCUUCUCUGUCUUAUUUCCAGUGUACCUUGUUUCCAAAUGUCAGAAGUACUAAAUUGUGGCUACUGAUACAAACUGACACUGGUUUUAUAUCUGGAAACUGAUUGGUGAAAUACUACUGCUGUUUUCUUAAACUCAGUGACAGGUAGGCAGUACUUUUUUCAGAUGAGUCAAUAUAGCUGAUUUUAGAUGCUUCAGGAGCCCAAUAGAGACAACAAAUAUUCUGGGGCAGGUAUAUAUAUAUAUUUUUUAAAUGUUUAUCAUGCUUUAAUUUCUCCCACCCUUGGUUUUAUUUUCUGUUUUAUAGUAGUUCAGCACAAAGUUAAUAAUGUUACAGAGAUCAUUUGUGUUAAGUGUCUAAAGCAAGGAGAAAUGAAGGCAGACAUAUUUUCAGUGGGUUUGUAUUGAUAGAAAUGUUCACUAGUGCAUAUAAUAUGUAUUUGAUAAAAUCUGGAGGAUAGGUCUGGCUUCACAUCUGUAAAGCUUGCCUGUUUCUUGUAGGAAACCUGACCAGUUUAGGCCUUGGUUCUGAUCUGGAUGCUGGUUGUUUCUCAGACUACACGAGAAAAAGCAGUCUCCAGGCUGGAAGGCAGUCACUUUUCCCCGCUCCAUGGCAGUGUUUGGAGAGGUUUCCAAGUGGAGCAGCCAGCACUGAGUCCUUCCCUCACCUCUGCCUGAUGGCCACAAAUGAAUCCCUGCACUCUGUGAUGGGAAAUGAACAACCUUCCAGCAUGUCUCAGUGACAGCUUUCCCCUAGUGCCUGCUGUUGUUGACAGCUCCAGGAGUCUACUUGUAAUUACAAAGUCAUGUUCAUCUUGUUUUUCAAAAAGUUUAUUCAUGUUUAUGUUACCUUUUGUGUUAGUCUUUGAUACAGUAACUCAAAUACAGAAUGCACGCUUGAGUACUGUCCUUGGCUGAGAUGGAUUCUCUUCAGUCUGUUUACUCUGAUAGAAAAACUCAUCAGCCUUUUCCCAGUGUUCUCAAUCCUUCUUCAGGAUACUGGAAACCCUGAAAACCCAAGGAAAAUGCAAUGAUGUGGAGCAAUAAUGUGUCUGUGGUUACAGACAGGGUAGACUGUACAGCACAGGAAAGUUUGUGAUUUAGUUACUUAAAAUAACCAAACAUUUUUAUUGGAAAGAAAUCCAAGCAGACUGUGGUCAGAAUGGAGACCAUCAUUUCUAGGACAGCAAGGUGAGCUCAAUUUCCAUGAGAGAGCAAGGGGAGGGGUAGAGGAGUGAUGGAAAGAGAACAGGCUAGAGUUCUGAAGUAUCUUGGGUUACCAAUACCAAAAGUAAAAACACAAGUCUGAGGAAUCUUGGUAGGAAGGUGUUGGAUUUAGGACUUUGGGCUGCCAGCCUGACACAUUCAGGACAUUUCCACUGGAGAGCUGGCCCAAAUGUUUUGAUAUGCUUAACCUGCUUAAGAACAUGCAAUUAGACUUAAUUUUCAUGGUAUUUGUUUCUGAAUAUCACACAGAGAAAAUAAUAAGAAAAAAAUGAACAGGGAACAGCUUUCCAUGGAUGAGACUUCCAUAUUUAUUGUUAUUCCAUGUGCAUAGAAAAUGGCAGUGAUUUCCUUAUGAAAUAGGCAGGGAAUGGGAGAGAUGUGGAUAUACUAGAUAUACUGGACUAGCUUUGUGCUUCAAAAUUACACUAUUAAUUUUUUAAAAUUUGGGUUCUUUUCCUCUUAGAAUUCACAACACUUUCUUGGUUUUGGGUUUUUUUUUUUGUGCAUGAUGUUUCAAAUUCCUUUUUCAAUGACACACUGCAUUACAAAUGGAUGGCACUUGAGACCAACGUGGCAUUUCCAUAUUUACACCAACAAAAAAAUUUACAUGACGCAGUAGCAUACAAUCCUGACAUUCAGUAAUAGCAAUAAAACAAGGGUAGCCAUUGGAUUUUUUCUGUACAAACUAUCAGAACAAGACUUUUAUUCACAUUAAAAAAAUCAGCUUUAAUUUGCUCUGACCUACACACUUUCCAAAUUCAUCAUACUCAAUUCUCAAACCUUUCAUCACAUCGCCCACACCCUCACCAGACUACAGGAGCUACAAGUAAUGAUACCUAACACCUAAGCAGAGCAAAACCAUCCCUGCCAGCUUUUUCUCCUGACAAU